GAUCCAAUUCUGUGCUAUAUCCAAAUGUAUAAAUAAAAAACAAAACAGAAGUGUAGAUGAUCUCUUCUCAGGACUCAUUUGCAUCUGUAAAUGAAUGUGAGAGUGUGCUGGAGAGCUGGUCCAGCCUUCCAAUAACAACAUGUCCUGGCUCUAUGAAAAAACUGAUCUGUGAAGCUGCAGAUUGAGGACUGAUUGCUUUGAGAAUACUGAACUUAACAAAUCAGGAGUGGAAAUUUUUUGGAAGCUGAGGCAUGGACUUGGAGUGGUUGAGAUAUUUAAGAUUCAUAUUUUUCAAUCUGUUGAUGAACAAGAUAUUGGAAUUCUGACUUGGUGAGGCAAGUGGGCAUCGUAUACACCUAAUCCUAUGUGGAAGGGUUCCAGUUCAGUUCAGUGUUUAGCUGUGAUGGAUGAAGGCUCUAGGAUGGCAUAGCCUUCAUCCAGUAGCUGUUCGAAGCAGAAACAGGCACCCAUAUCUAAGCACUGAACCAUACUCCUGGUAUCCAGUUGUUGAGAAGGAGGAGGGAUGAGCAAAGGAGCCAAGAUGGUGCUGCAGAAACCCACAGAAACAGUUGACCUGACCUACUGAGAGCAUGAAGACCCUAGUCAUAAAGCUGGAGAAACAACAUUGGAUCAGACCAAGCCCUCUGAAUGUGGGUGCCAGCUAGGAGGCCAAGGCAGUCUAUGGGACCUCUAACAGUGGAGCCAGUCUUUAACCCUAGAGCAUAAAUGGACUUUGGGAGCCCAUUUCCUAUGGAGGGAUACUAUUGCAGCCCAGAUACAGCAAGGAGGGCCUAGGCCUUUCCCAAAAAGGAUAUGACAGACUUUGAAGGUCUCUGGUGG
rnacentral:lncRNA from 1 species